GGGGAGGUAGCUCAGCUCGGGAGAGCGCCACGCUGAAGACGUGGAUGUCGCGUGUUCAAAUCACGCCCUUCCCA
rnacentral:tRNA from 1 species